AGAGAAAGUUUACUCAGGUUAGAGGAACACUCUCUCCUGAACACACAGGACCUGGAUACCAUGUUGUAUACUAGAGGUCACACACAGGGAACACACCUGUGGAGAGAGAAAGUUUACUCAGGUUAGAGGAACACUCUCUCCUGAACACACAGGACCUGGAUACCAUGUUGUAUACUAGAGGUCACACACAGGGAACACACCUGUGGAGAGAGAAAGUUUACUCAGGUUAGAGGAACACUCUCUCCUGAACACACAGGACCUGGAUACCAUGUUGUAUACUAGAGGUCACACACAGGGAACACACCUGUGGAGAGAGAAAGUUUACUCAGGUUAGAGGAACACUCUCUCCUGAACACACAGGACCUGGAUACCAUGUUGUACACUAGAGGUCACACACAGGGAACACACCUGUGGAGAGAGAAAGUUUACUCAGGUUAGAGGAACACUCUCUCCUGAACACACAGGACCUGGA